GGUGGUAUAGCUCAGUGGUAGAGUGUGUGCUUCACAUGCACGACAUCCCAGGUUUGAUUCCCCAGUGCCAUGA
rnacentral:tRNA from 1 species